AUUGAACGCUGGCGGCAUGCCUAACACAUGCAAGUCGAGCGGAUGAAGGGAGCUUGCUCCUGGAUUCAGCGGCGGACGGGUGAGUAAUGCCUAGGAAUCUGCCUGGUAGUGGGGGAUAACGUCCGGAAACGGGCGAUCAUACCGCAUACGUCCUGAGGGAGAAAGUGGGGGAUCUUCGGACCUCACGCCAUCAGAUGAGCCUAGGUCGGAUUAGCUAGUUGGUGGGGUAAAGGCCUACCAAGGCGACGAUCCGUAACUGGUCUGAGAGGAUGAUCAGUCACACUGGAACUGAGACACGGUCCAGACUCCUACGGGAGGCAGCAGUGGGGAAUAUUGGACAAUGGGCGAAAGCCUGAUCCAGCCAUGCCGCGUGUGUGAAGAAGGUCUUCGGAUUGUAAAGCACUUUAAGUUGGGAAGAAGAGCAGUAAGUUAAUACCUUGCUGUUUUGACGUUACCAAAAGAAUAAGCACCGGCUAACUUCGUG
rnacentral:rRNA from 1 species